GACAGAGGGUGCAAACGUUGCUCGGAAUUACUGGGCGUAAAGCGCGUGUAGGCGGACCGGAAAGUCAGAUGUGAAAUCCCUGGGCUCAACCCAGGAACUGCAUUUGAAACUUCCGGCCUUGAGUGACGGAGAGGGAAGCGGAAUUCCUGGUGUAGAGGUGAAAUUCGUAGAUAUCAGGAGGAACACCGGUGGCGAAGGCGGCUUCCUGGACGUCCACUGACGCUGAGACGCGAAAGCGUGGGGAGCAAACAGG
rnacentral:rRNA from 1 species